rnacentral:rRNA from 1 species
GACGAACGCUGGCGGCGCGCCUAACACAUGCAAGUCGAGCGAUGAAAUUUUAACCGCUCUCUUCGGAGAGAUGAUAAAAUGGAUUAGCGGCGGACGGGUGAGUAACACGUGAGAAACCUGCCUUUCACAAGGGGAUAGCCUCGGGAAACCGGGAUUAAUACCCUAUGACACAUUUCCUUCGCAUGGAAGAAAUGUUAAAACUCCGGUGGUGAAAGAUGGUCUCGCGCCUGAUUAGCUAGUUGGUGGGGUAACGGCCCACCAAGGCCAUGAUCAGUAACCGGCCUGAGAGGGUGAACGGUCACAUUGGAACUGAGACACAGUCCAGACUCCUACGGGAGGCAGCAGUGGGGAAUAUUGCACAAUGGAGGAAACUCUGAUGCAGCGACGACGCGUGAGCGAUGAAGGCUUUCGAGUCGUAAAGCUCUGUCCUAUGGGAAGAUAAUGACGGUACCAUAGGAGAAAGCCCCGGCUAACUACGUG